rnacentral:lncRNA from 1 species
GUACAAUAGCUGUGGUGGUUGUGUUAUCAUAAAAGUCUUGAUAUUUCGGGGCAACAGAAUAAGUUAUAGCCGCCAUGUAAUAGUGAUCCGGGCGUUGGUUAGCUUCUAGUAAGACAUCAUAGGUUUGGCCAGGAAAUAUUGUGAUAAAAUCUCGUGUCAAUGGUUUCGUGUAGCUACCAUCUGUUCCAACCACUGUCAUUUUAUGCUUGUCAAUGGAGAAGAAGAGAGCCUCAUGCAAGGCAGCAUUGAUUAUGCGAAGUAGAUAGGUCUUUCCAUGAUCCACCGUUAGCUUGAAUGUGUCUGCAAUUAGAGAGGGAAAGUUGUAUACUUAUGACUAGCCAAAAGAAAAAGAAAAAGUUUCCAUGAGGAUCCACUAAUUAUGAAGGGAUUGAUUGAUGAGGGGUGUAAAUUUGGCUCCAUAGUUCAAAAUUAUAUUUGGACUAGCCUUUUUUUGUGUUUUAAAUCAUGGCUCUACCAUCCUCAUAGCUAUAUUCCUCUUUCUUAGCAUUAAGCUUUAAAUAUGUUGAUGUUAAUAAGAAAAAGUAAUAUGGCUAACAUAUAAGAAAAUGAAAUUGUGUACAAUUUUAAAAUGGGAAGUUAAACUUUGUACCUGAUUUUGAGCAUGGAUAUAGAUCACCGGGUUGUCCAUUUAUCAAUAAAGCAUCAGAGGGGUCGGGGUCACCUCCGGUUGCAAGCCCUUCAUCUCGAACCGCAUUCACAUCAUUCUUCCACCAUUCUCCUGCAUUUCAACAACUUCAAUAAUUUUAGAUUUUGCUUUGUUGGUUAAUUCAUAAUAUGUAAAUUAACCUUUAAAAGUAACAACACUUAUACCUAAUAUGAUAGGGACCUCUCUGUCAGGUUUGUGAAAAGGAUACUUGGUUCCAUUCUUGGGAUAGAUAAUUAUAGCUCCAUGAACAGUGGCUCGGGUCCAAUCACUGUGAGCAUGCCACCAUAGAGUGCCUUCUUCAGUGGAAAGGAUGAUCUUCUGUGUAAACUUUGACCCUGGCCGAAUUGGGCAUUGUGUGAUAUACUCGGGACCAUCUGUCCAUGGAUAUCUAGGCAUGGUCACCCCAUGCCUGCGAAACCAUAACUAUACGUUAAAACUAGUACUAAUUUUCAAAGUAACAAAAGAUGGCAUGCAACAACAUAUUAUCAUAGUAACAAGAGGCAUCAAUUGUAUUUCAAUGGAACUAAAGCAAAUAACCUUAAAGUAUUGUUUUAAAUUUGACUUUAUUUUCAAAGUUAUAUAUUGUAGCCCCCUCUUAGAUAUAAAAGAAUGUAUGUCAUGCAAGCAUGCUACCACUGCUCUUUCUUUGAGACACGCACAGGACCUACCAAUGAAUGGUGAUGUUUUCGUUUCCCUUGUUAUAAACGUCGACAAUGAUCGUCUCUCCUUUCGUAGCAUAUAUGGUUGGUCCCGGAAAUUUUCCAUUUACUGUUAAGAUGUUCUUGGUGCUACAAAGCCUUUUAUAUGAAGCUUCCCUCACCUGCAACCAAUUAAAAGUUAGCCAUGCAACCUCAUCCCAAAAGAAAUAUUACAUGCAUGAAUAGUUGUAUCGAUCCAUUCAUGUAAGUGUAUAACCAAUUAGAAAUUGAUAGCAUGCAUGAAUGACUCAACGACACCAAGGUAGUAGGUCAUAUGGUACGAAAUGAGAGCCAUACCACUCCCUAAAUAUCAUGAUUACAAGGUGGCGUUAAGGCCAGAAUCAUAUAUAGAAUUUACCACAAAAGUAAGCCGACGGGUCGAAGCUUGGCAAUGGAUUCCACCACCAAAAACUAGAAACGCUAAAAUUUGCAGGAGGAAAACCUUCAUGAUCAGCCACAUUUUCCUUGGAAUAAAAGCCUCUUCUCUUGUCCUAAACACAACUCCUUCAAUUCUCUUACUGCUUUUGAUGUAUUUCUUUCAUAUAUGGUUCAUUAUAUAGGCAUGGUAAUUCUCUCGGGAUACAAUACGUGUCAAUAUAAGAGGAAGUGAUUUGAAUGUGUAUUGGUUUUCAAUGUUCUUUCAGGACGACUUCAAUGAGCAGGACCACUUCAAAAAUAAUUAAUUACGUACACGUUAUUGAUUAUUUUAGAAUAUUCUUUCAAAAGUCUUUUAUUGAUUAUUUCAACAAAUUUUAAUUAAUUAAAUAUAUGUAGAAUAAUUUUAAAACUUUGACUUCCCGUAUGAGUACAAUUUGUCAUGAUCGUUGGUGUAGAUAUAAAAAGAGACUAAAUUAAAGGAUUUUGAAAAUGUGUCGACAAGAACAUCAUUGAAAAAUUUGAAGGUUCCAAUUUUGUGGGUCAUGCAAUUUAUUGGACACUGAAUGGAUAAACAAGCCACGCUCUCCACUUAUUUUCUUUCAAUAUAUAAGCCUUGUACGUGAUGUUGGUUGACUAUUAUGAUAGUAAAUUCGGGAGGAUGUUUAAAUGGACGGGCAAGAUAAGAAAUAGAUUUUCUAUUAAGAUAUUUGAAUGGAGAUGAAAGCAUGGGUAUAGGUUUGUACUAAGGAAAUGAACAUAUGAUUAAAAUAAACCUGAUACAGUUAGUCUAUAAGAAUGGAUCCUGUUUCUAACCUUUUAACACACAAAUUUGGAAACCUAAACCUAUGGAUUGUUUCUUUCCUAUAAUGGAAUCCUAUGUUCCUUCUCAAAGCAGCGCUGACUUUUCCCUUCCUACCAACUACAAAGAGAAAAUCUUGACUAAUCUCGAUAAAGGUUUAUUUUAUCUAUACAUGCGAGGUCAAAGUUUUAAAAGUAUUCUACAUAUAUUUUAAAUUUAUUCUAAAAUAAUGUGUUUGAUUAAUUUCUUGGUCAAUUCUCAAAGUCAAACUUGUAUUUUGAAUUGGAAAAUUCUAGAGAUUCUAAGAAACUCGUCUUCUACGAUACACAACCUGAUUGAAGCUGAGCUGUGAGAAAUUUUCACAAUUGUUAGCAUUCUUCAGGCAUUUGGUUUAUUUAAAUUUUGGUAAUAGUCAUAUGAUAGUAAAUUCGGGAGGAUGCUUGCAUGCAUGGGCAUCAUGAUUUUUUUUGAGAUGUUUAAAUGGACGUGAAAGAUAAGAAAUAGAUUUUCUAUUAAGAUAUUUGAAUGGAGAUGAAAGCAUGGGUAUAGGUUUGUACUAAGGAAAUGAACAUAUGAUUAAAAUAAACCUGAUACAGUUAGUCUAUAAGAAUGGAUCCUGUUUCUAACCUUUUAACACACAAAUUUGGAAACCUAAACCUAUGGAUUGUUUCUUUCCUAUAAUGGAAUCCUAUAUUCCUUCUCAAAGCAGCGCUAAACCUAAACCUGAUACAGUUAAUCCUAUAUUUAAAAUACAAGUUUGACUUUGAGAAUUGACCAAGAAAUUAAUCAAACGCAUUAUUUUAGAAUAAAUUUAAAAUAUCCUUUCACAAGUCUUUUAUUGAUUAUUUCAACAAAUGUUAAUUAAUUAAAUAUAUGUAGGAUAUUUUUAAAACUUUGACCUCCCGUAUGAGUACCCUUCUGAAAAGUCGGGAGGAUGUUGGUUGACUAUUAUGAUAGUAAAUUCGGGAGGAUGCUUGCAUGUAACAAUUUUAUUUUAUUUUAUUUUAAAAUUUAUUCUAAAACCAUAGGUUUAGGUUUCCAAAUUUGUGUGUUAAAAGGUUAGAAACAGGAUCCAUUCUUAUAGACUAACUGUAUCAGGUUUAUUUUAAUCAUAUCUUCAUUUCCUAAGUACAAACCUAUACCCAUGCUUUCAUCUCCAUUCAAAUAUCUUAAUAGAAAAUCUAUUUCUUAUCUUUCACGUCCAUUUAAACAUCCUCCCGAAUUUACUAUCAUAAUAGUCAACCAACAUCACGUACAAGGCUUAUAUAUUGAAAGAAAAUAAGUGGAGAGCGUGGCUUGUUUAUCCAUUCAGUGUCCAAUAAAUUGCAUGACCCACAAAAUUGGAACCUUCAAAUUUUUCAAUGAUGUUCUUGUCGACACAUUUUCAAAAUCCUUUAAUUUAGUCUCUUUUUAUAUCUACACCAACGAUCAUGACAAAUUGUACUCAUACGGGAAGUCAAAGUUUUAAAAUUAUUCUACAUAUAUUUAAUUAAUUAAAAUUUGUUGAAAUAAUCAAUAAAAGACCUUUGAAAGAAUAUUCUAAAAUAAUCAAUAACGUGUAGGUAAAUAAUCAAGAACAUCUUAACAGUAAAUGGAAAAUUUCCGGGACCAACCAUAUAUGCUACGAAAGGAGAGACGAUCAUUGUCGACGUUUAUAACAAGGGAAACGAAAACAUCACCAUUCACUGGUAGGUCCUAUGCGUGUCUCAAAGAAAGAGCAGUGGUAGCAUGCUUGCAUGACAUACAUUCUUUUAUAUCUAAGAGGGGGCUACAAUAUAUUACUUUGAAAAUAAAGUCAAAUUUAAAACAAUACUCUAAGGUUAUUUGCUUUAGUUCCAUUGAAAUACAAUUGAUGCCUCUUGUUACUAUGAUAAUAUGUUGUUGCAUGCCAUUAUAGGAUUCCAUUAUAGGAAUAUAGUUAUGGUUUAGGUUUCCAAAUUUGUGUGUUAAAAGGUUAGAAACAGGAUCCAUUCUUAUAGACUAACUGUAUCAGGUUUAUUUUAAUCAUAUGUUCAUUUCCUUAGUACAAACCUAUACCCAUGCUUUCAUCUCCAUUCAAAUAUCUUAAUAGAAAAUCUAUUUCUUAUCUUGCCCGUCCAUUUAAACAUCCUCCCGAAUUUACUAUCAUAAUAGUCAACCAACAUCACGUACAAGGCUUAUAUAUUGAAAGAAAAUAAGUGGAGAGCGUGGCUUGUUUAUCCAUUCAGUGUCCAAUAAAUUGCAUGACCCACAAAAUUGGAACCUUCAAAUUUUUCAAUGAUGUUCUUGUCGACACAUUUUCAAAAUCCUUUAAUUUAGUCUCUUUUUAUAUCUACACCAACGAUCAUGACAAAUUGUACUCAUACGGGAAGUCAAAGUUUUAAAAUUAUUCUACAUAUAUUUAAUUAAUUAAAAUUUGUUGAAAUAAUCAAUAAAAGACUUUUGAAAGAAUAUUCUAAAAUAAUCAAUAACGUGUAGGUAAAUAAUCAAGAACAUCUUAACAGUAAAUGGAAAAUUUCCGGGACCAACCAUAUAUGCUACGAAAGGAGAGACGAUCAUUGUCGACGUUUAUAACAAGGGAAACGAAAACAUCACCAUUCACUGGUAGGUCCUAUGCGUGUCUCAAAGAAAGAGCAGUGGUAGCAUGCUUGCAUGACAUACAUUCUUUUAUAUCUAAGAGGGGGCUACAAUAUAUUACUUUGAAAAUAAAGUCAAAUUUAAAACAAUACUCUAAGGUUAUUUGCUUUAGUUCCAUUGAAAUACAAUUGAUGCCUCUUGUUACUAUGAUAAUAUGUUGUUGCAUGCCAUUAUAGGAUUCCAUUAUAGGAAUAUAGUUAUGGUUUAGGUUUCCAAAUUUGUGUGUUAAAAGGUUAGAAACAGGAUCCAUUCUUAUAGACUAACUGUAUCAGGUUUAUUUUAAUCAUAUGUUCAUUUCCUUAGUACAAACCUAUACCCAUGCUUUCAUCUCCAUUCAAAUAUCUUAAUAGAAAAUCUAUUUCUUAUCUUGCCCGUCCAUUUAAACAUCCUCCCGAAUUUACUAUCAUAAUAGUCAACCAACAUCACGUACAAGGCUUAUAUAUUGAAAGAAAAUAAGUGGAGAGCGUGGCUUGUUUAUCCAUUCAGUGUCCAAUAAAUUGCAUGACCCACAAAAUUGGAACCUUCAAAUUUUUCAAUGAUGUUCUUGUCGACACAUUUUCAAAAUCCUUUAAUUUAGUCUCUUUUUAUAUCUACACCAACGAUCAUGACAAAUUGUACUCAUACGGGAAGUCAAAGUUUUAAAAUUAUUCUACAUAUAUUUAAUUAAUUAACAUUUGUUGAAAUAAUCAAUAAAAGACUUGUGAAAGGAUAUUUUAAAUUUAUUCUAAAAUAAUGCGUUUGAUUAAUUUCUUGGUCAAUUCUCAAAGUCAAACUUGUAUUUUGAAUUAGAAAGUUCAAGAGAUUCUAAGAAAGUCGUCUUCUACGAUACACAACCUGAUUGAAGCUGAGCUGUGAGAAAUUUUCACAAUUCUUAGCAUUCUUCAGGCUUUUGGUUUAUUCAAAUUUUGGUAAGUAAUCAAAUAUCAUACACAACUUGAAGUGGUCCUGCACAUUGAAGUGGUCCUGGAAGAACAUUCAAAACUGCACAUUGAAGUGGUCCUGGAAGAACAUUCAAAACCAAUACACAUUCAAAUUACUUGGCUUAUAUUGAUACGCGUCGAGGAAUUGUUGAUACCCAAGCCACAUGUGAUCUGAUUUAAUGAAUCUCUGCCCUUCAUCCGAAGAAUUCUGGUGUUCUGGAUUGAUGGGAGCAAAAAGGUGACCAGUUUUACCUUGAGUCAAAUUCAAAUGACAAAAUAUAUUACCAGGGCAAUCAUGGACACCACCCUUAACUACAAAAAUAGCGCACACAGCCAAUCCCAUCAACCUAGUAUACACCAAUUUGGAGGCAGAUGUACCAUAUUACUGUGGAGUCUAUACUCUGUUGGCUGAACCACUCAAGAAUUCAACUUCCAGGAACAAAAGUACUGGAUUCAAUAUGUGGAGUAUAUGGCACCAUCUGGGUCAUGAAAAUCAAUGUCAAGUUAUAUGGAAAUAAUGUAGGAGUAGUGCUCAAAGGAGUAUAAGAAUUAUUCCAUAGGAUUUAAUUGAUUUACUUUUACAAUAUGAUCAAGAGAGAGAGGAGAGAAACCUGAAUUGGGAAUUGAAAUCUUGGUAAUUUAUUUGCCAGACUUUGCAUUUCCCUUAAUGUAGCUGCCACAAAGUUGCUGCUUUCAUUCUCAGACAGUCUGAAGCAAUUAGAAAAUGUGAAUCGGAGGCCCCCACAUUCCUUGGAUCUGUAGACACUUGAUGGACACAAAAUGUUUUCCAUAACUGUGCCAUCAUGGGCAUCUAUUUCUUCUAUACUUGAUGGAAGCUCUGGUAAUGAUUGAAGCCUCUUGCAACAACCCAGCCUAAGGCCUUUGAGCUGUGAAAGUUGAUUGAGACGUGCAGGUAGGGUAACAAAAUUGUUUCUGCUCAGAUCUAAAUAUUCCAAUGAGCACAGAGAGCUAAAGUCAUUGGGAAUUGCUCCUUCCAAUAUGUGGCAAUCACUUAGAUUUAACUUUCUUAGGGAUCUUAAACCAAAGAAAGAUGCAGUUGCCACACUAUUCUUAGAUUUAACUUUCUUAGGGAUCUUCAUAUUUAGUUUCAUAGGAAAGAUGUUUUCAAAGAAAUCUGCAUUCUUUGUUUCUAUUAUAGUAUUGACAUCUACCAGAUUAUUUUCUGACUUAGUAACAAGAAACCUAUAUGCCACACUAUUCUUAGCAUAGCCAAUGAACAUUGCAUCAAAGGUUUUAGGACCUAGUUUUCGUUUUUUAGGUUCGGGGAGAAGAACUUUAGCUAAACACCCCCACACUUUCAGGUAUGCUAUAUUAGGUGCAUAACCUUUCCACAACUCAUAAGGAGUUUUACUAGUUUUCUUGUAAGGUAUUCUAUUUUGAAUAUGGCAGGCGGAUAGGAUAGCUUCCCCCCACAAGUUCAAGGGUGCUCCUGAACUUACUAACAUUGCAUUCAUAAUUUCUUUUAAGGUCUUAUUUUUCCUUUAUGCUAUUCCAUUAGACUCAGGGGAAUAAGGAGGAAUAAGGAGGAGUAGUUUCAUGAAUGAUCCCAUGAUCUUCACAAAAAGAAUUAAAGGGGUUGGACUCAUACUCUCCUCCUCUUUCAGUUCUAAGCCUUUUAAUUUUCUUACUUAGUUGAUUUUCCAUUUCAUUUUUGUACUUGAUGAAAGCAUCUCUUGCUUCAUCUUUGUUUCUCAAAAGAUAUACCCUUGUAUACCUUGAGUAGUCAUCUAUGAAAGUUAUGUAGAAUUGUUUACCACCUCUAGUCAUUGUAUUUUUUAGGUCUCCUAAGUCACUAUGUAUUAAACUUAGUAGAUCUGAUUCUCUUUCAACUGAUUUGCAAGAUUUCUUUGUGGUUUUAGAUUCUACACAAGAUUCACAUUUUCCAUGGUUUUCUAAGGACAGAUUAGGGAUUAAACUCAAUUCAACCAUUUUCUUCAUAUAUGAAAAGUUCACAUGUCCUAGUCUACCAUGCCAAAUAUCACAAGAAUCAACUAUGUAAGCAAAAGAAGAAGAUGUAUUAUUAUUGAUAAUAUCAUAAACAUUCAACAUAAAUAAACCCUGAUUACAAUAGCUCUUUCCCACAAAUGCAUCAUUCUUGGUUAAAACUAUUUUAUCAUAGUCAAACAAGAUCCUCACUCCUGCUUUUCCAAGUAGAGAUACCGACACCAAGUUCCAACGGAUAUCUGGCACAUGAAGAACAUCACAUAGGGCAAGCACUUUUCCAGAUGUUAGCUUGAGGAGAACUUUCCCUUUGCCAAUCACUGGAGUAGAUCUAGAAUCACCCAUGAACACUUGGUCCUCUCCUUUCUUUAUAGUGGUAUAGGAAGUAAAUGCAUUUCUAUUCCCACAGAUGUGCCUAUUAACCCCAAAGUCUACCACCCAUUCCUUCAUAUUGGUGACCAUGCUCACCUCAGAGGAGAUUACUGUUGUGAUCACCUCUGUCUCUGCCAGAUUUGCCUUUGAACUGGUCUUCUCAAUUCUCUUCCUAUGGCGACAUUGAGUUGCAUGGUGUCUAGACUUGCCACAGACAAAGCAAUUACCGCGUUUUUUAAUAAUUAGAUUUUGGACCUUAUUUAAUGCAUUGGGCUUGGUCCUAAAGUUUUGUUUCCUGAACCUAUUAUUUUUGGGUUUAGAUUUUUCUUCUACUACAUUAGCUUUAGAAGACAAUUCCUUAGCUUUCUCAAUAUUGUCCCUAUUUCGGUUUUGUUCCUCAAUCCUAAUAUGGAUUAUGACAUCCUCUAAGGACAUUUGUUUCCUUUUAUGUUUCAUGUUGUUUUUAUAGUCUUUCCAAGACUCCGGAAGAGCCUCUACUAAAUAACCAGCCACAAAAGGUUCGGGUAAUUUAAUGUCUUCAAUAGCUAAGUCAUUAAUCAACAAGUGGUAGUCAUGGAUUUGAGAUGAGACAACUCUAUCCUCACUCAUUUGGAAAUUUAUAAAAUUCCCUAUGGCAUAUUUAUGAGUUCCCGCAUCUUGCAAAAUAUAUUUUUUAUUCAUUGCAUCCCAAAUUUAUUUUGCAACUUUAAAUUGACAAUAAAUAUCAAAAAGUUCAUUAGAAAGUGUACUCAGAAUAGCAUGGCUAACUUGUUUAUUUCCAGUUUCCCAGGUUGGUAACAUAUGAGAACCAUCUUCUGGUUUUGGAUCAGUCAAAAUAUGUCCUAAGUUCACCACAUCAAUUGUAGAGAAAACCCUUUCCUGCCAUCUCUUAAAGAAUGUCCCAUUAAAUGGAUUAAUUUUAGAGGUGUCAGGAUGGGUGUGAAUUAGGGAAGCUUUCAUUUGAAUUUAUUUCAAGAUUGUUGGAUUUUAAGGGUAUGGAAACAAAGACUAGCCCAAAAGACACAAACAAAGAACAUAAUGAAUAAAAAAAAAAAACUUAUCGGCUGAGGCAUGACAAGCACUGUCCUUGAAAUAGAUCCACCCUCCUCGAAGACGAACUCGGUGCACUAUGUGAGAAAGGGUAUAAAUAAUGUGAGAUAAGGUACAAAAAAAUGUGAAAAAAUGUACGAAUAAUGUGAGAAAAUGGUAUGCACAAUGUUAUAAAAUGGUAUGAACAAUGUGAAAAAAGAUACAAAUAAUAUGAGACAUGGUAUGAAUUAUGUGAGAGGGGAUACAAAUAAUGUGAGGGAAGGUACAAACACUAUGAGAAAGAGUACAAACAAAACAAGGAAAUGUACGAACAAUGUGAUAAAUGGUAGGAAAAAUGUAAGACAUGGUAUGAACAAUGUAAGAAAAAUAAAAAAUAGAUAAGAUUAAUAAAUUAUUUUUUCAUUAAUAUAAAUUAAAUAAUUAAAAUACCUAAGUUUUUCAAAAAUUUUAAUCAUGGUAGUGGGCCUUUGAUCAACCAAAGAUAGCCCAUGUAUCAUUUUCCAAAGUGAAGCACAACAACCUUAUAACAGUGAUGUCACAUAGCAAUUCAUUAUUCAUUAUUUUGUUUUCCCUUUUCAAUGUGGAUUUUCUUAAAGCUAUUAAAAAAACACACAAAAUCAAGAUUUGAGCAUGGGUCUUUCACAAUAUCUUUUAUAUACUAAUAAUUAUAAAUUAAUUAAAAUGAAAUUAUUAUAAAUAAGUUAAUUUUAAUUAUCUUAUUAUGUCUCAUAUAAAGUGAUUAGAUAUAGGAUAAAUAUAAAUUUAUAAAUAAAAUUAUUAACAUUUUCAAAUAAAAAAUAUAAAUAUAUAUCAAUUUUUUUUAUAUCCUUUAGUAUAUCUAAACUUAAUGCAUUAUCAUUUUAGUAUUAAUAUUUCCCAAUUCGGUAUAUUAUUGUCUGAGAUUACAAAUUUAUUAUACAUUUAUCAAUUUUUCUUAAAACAAUAUCAUUAUAUACAUUAUUACUUUUCUAUCAUUUUUUGAGUUAUUUCCAACAUUUCAUAAGGUUUUAUCAAUUUCCAUCUUAUAUAUAUAUAUAUAUAUAUUUCAGAAUUUUCAUUGAUAUUUCUUUAUAUAUCUAUAAACUCCAACUAAUGAUAUAUCGGUAAAAAUCAAUAUUUUUAUUCUUACUUAACAUAAGAAAGAAAAUUAUUCAAAUGGUGCAUAAAUUAAUGUGACCUCCUGAUGAGAAUGACAAUGACAACCAUGAGUCAUAAUUAGUGUAUGUGUGUGGUAAAUUAACUUAGUGUUUGAUAAAAUAAUUAUUUAUCAUCAUUUAAAAUUUAAAAAUAAAUUUAAAUGUUAAAUCAAAAUAAUUAACUUAUUCUAAAUACUAAUUUUUUUUAUUCUCUUUGUUCAUAUUUGGUGAUAACCAUGCUUUAUUUUUAGAAUUCUUUUUUUUUUUAGUAAAUAUUUUGUAGUUAUUUUGUAGCUUCACAAUAGUACUUUUUAAUAUAAAUGUUUAACAAGCUUGAGUUUAUGAAGAUAAAUAUUAAGAAAAAUUAAUGAGUUUAAAUAUAUCAAUAUAAUAACUUUUAAAAAAUUAAGUUGAUUUUACCAAAAUAAAAAUAAAAAUAAUUCAUCUUAAAAUUAAUUUCAAUAAUUAAGUAAUAAGGAUUAAGUUUUAUCAUACACUCUCUUAAUUAAUAAAUGACAUAACUUCUUUCAACAACUUCUUCGUUCUACUUUUGAAAAAAAAUAAUAAUAAUGUGAUAUUUAUUUAUUUAUGUCUAAAAUUUAAAUAUACUUGAAUUUGACUUAAAUCUAAAUAUAGCUUAAUAUUAUUAAGUGUUCAGACUAUUUUUUUUUAUUUGUGUCUAAAUAUUAUUAACUGUUAAAUUGUUUCUUUUUAUUAAUAUCAAAAUAUGUGAAGUGUUAAAUUUAUUUAUUUUUGGUUAAAAACAUUUAUAAAAGUAAUUGUUAUAUUUCUUCUUAUUUUAAUUUGAAAAGUUAUAAUUUAACAAAAUAGUAAUUUAAUUAACACAUCUAAAAAAUAUUAUAAUACAUUGUCAAAGUAAAAAUUUUAUAAUGAUAAUUAUGUAAUUAGUAAAUUAUAUUAUUGUACAAUCCAUUGUUCCAUGUCGUAUAAUAUAGAAUAGCUAUGCAUACCCAUCAGUGCAUAGACAUAUAUCUUUUGAUAAUCUAUCAUGAAUGUCACCUGGACUCUAAGUGAAGUAUGUAGCUAUUAUACUAUAAAGAUGGCAUAGGAAGAGGCUCCGGGUUUACUAGUUCUCACUCAACCAUAGAAAUAGGGAAUAUAUUGCACAUUAUUUUCAUCUAAAAGAAAGGUAGAAAGACCUUAGAAAUGGAACUUUUAGAUAAAACCUAAGGGUGGCAAUGAGAUGAGUCUAAGAAGGAUCACCUCAAUCUCAAUCUUAUGCCAUUUAUUUAUAUUAAAUGGGGUGAGAUAAGACAAAAUUAUAUUCGAACCUGUCUUGAAUUUGGUUCGAGGGCAAGAAGGGUCUUUACAAAAAUCAGCCUCAUUGUCAUUCUUAGGUACGCAUCUAUACCAAUGAAAGUUUUUACAUCUAUUAAAAAAUUUAAUGUUCCCGAUGUUAAUUAACUUCACCAGACUACAUACACUUCAUAAUCGUGAAAAAGUGUUAAAAUUCUCAACCAAUCAAUGACAUAAACUACAAUCAAGUUUAGUACAUCGUAACCCUAAAAUACCUCCAAACCCCAUUUCUUGUAAGACCCCCUUCUGAUUAGGUUGCAAAUGUUGAAGUGCAUUAUACAACUAAUUAGGCGAACAACAAGUGUCAAGGUAAGACUGCAAGCCAUACAUAUACAUAUGCAUAUAAAUUCGAAAUUGAAAGAAAAUAUUAUCAAAUUUUAAAAAGAUAAAUUUCAAUUUUUUUUUUGUCUUUGAUACAUUUUUUGAGCUUGUACCAUUUUGUUUUACAUAUUCAUUGGAGUAUUUCUUCAUCAUGGGUCUUCAUCCAUUAGGGCACCAAGGAGAGCAAGUUCAUUGGCACGUGCUUUAAUGGUAUGUAGGAAGGUAGUGAUGCUUUGCAAACCCUUGGUGUGAUUCUUAAGGUGGUUGUUGACUUGUUUAAUGUAGACAUGUGAUAGUUUGACAUAGGUAUUGGUGAAGAUGAUCUAUGCUUCACGAAAGGUUGUGGCACAGGCAAUGAAUGGAAUUAUGGUGGGUGAAACGGAGCCAAUAAGUGCAUUUAGGAUCAAUUGAUCUUGAUGAAGCAAGAAUAGGUUGGGUUGGGUAUUACAGUGUCGUUGGCAUAGUGGUGGGUGGACAAGGUUUGGUUCUAUCAAUAUAGCUAAGGCGGUCAAAGCCAAUAAAUAGUGUUUGGAAUUGAAAUCUUUAUGAUAUAUAGUUGGUAGUGGUUAGUUUAAGUGGGGCUCGAGCAAAAACAUUUAUUGAGAUGAGUAUUUGGUGUGACUCAUGGGUGUUGUGAAUAUUGAGAGUAGAAGUUACAGAAGUGGUGACAUCUUAGGUGGCCAUGAGGCUAUGAUGAUGGGGAGGAGCAUUAGAUGGCUUUGGCAUAGAAAAAGAGGUAAGAAGGAAGAACAAGUGGUGGUGAGGGUUUUCAGGUUAAGAAGCUUGAAUGCUCUGAUGUCAUAUUGAAGAAUGAGAUUGGUAAAUUAUUUUUCUAGGUUGAUUCUAUGUUGCUUAUAUGCAUGAUUCACCAAGGGUUUCUGACAAGCAUUAGCUAAGGGUGGCUGAACCCAAUGACAGACCAGAUGAAGGAUUAAUAAUAUAUUGCACUCCAGCAGUUCAACCAAUUCCCUUCGUUUCCUUAAUGACUUCUUUUGGUGACCUAUCAAUUUCUCUCUUGGAAAGUCUAGUAAUGGGUUGCCAAUUACCUAAAAGUUACUUCUGAGGUUUUGUUUUGUUGAUUCUAUGCUAACUGAUAAUCUGCAGAGGAAACAACUUGUUCGUCUGGAGAAGGUCUUGAAGCAUGCACUGUGAUGAAUUUGACCAGAAGAGUAAACUCAUCAAGUCCAUAUUAAGUCAUCAGGUUCCAGUAGAGCUAUUUCAAAAACUUCUUUAAUGCAUUAGCAUUUAAAAAUUGAAACAAUAAAAUAACAUAUAUUAUUGAUACUAUCAUUUAAAACAAGAAAUAUAUUGUUGAUAAUGGCAUUUAAAACAAUAAAAUAGUGCAUUAGACCUGCAUUCAAAUCUUCAAUUCUCAAACACCACCAACCCACCCAUGAAUAGAGAAAGAGAAGAGAACCCUAGCAAAAGUAGAGAGGUUCGAUUCUCAAAUCUUCAAUUUUCUUUUUAUGUGUUCAAGUCAUUUUUAUUUGUUAAAUGAUUCCAGCUACUACUUGGGUCUAGUAUUUCCUUGGUGUAUAUAUCAUGCACUUCUCAGUAGAAUGCCCAUAGACAUGGAGAAACAAUUUUUUAUUUAUUUGCAAUGCCUAAUAUAAAUUAAUAAGCACCUAAUUUUUUGUUUCAGCUAUGAAUGGUAUUUUUCUCUAGAUCAUAAGUACGUUGGUUGAAUUUUAAAAAAUUUAUACCAUUUCAGCGACUAAUUAAUAUCAUGCAAUAGAAAAACAAAGUUGAAAUUUGGGAUAAUAAAUAUCAUUAAAGUACAAAGAAAGUAACUUAUUGGGAGCAAAUUCUUCACAACCUGGCAUUCGCCUUUAGAUUAAAUAAUUUAUUAAUAAUCUCCUCUUUCUUUCUAAACUUAUACCGCUGUUUAUGAAAGUUUCUAAAAACCAAAGCCCAAAGCCUAGACUAUAAAAAGGAAAUAAUCACUUGGAGAGGGGUUGUUUGUUUUUCUUGAGAGCCUAAUAAAUGCAACGACAUAGACAGAAAGAGGCGGAAGAGUUGAGUCGGAGGAUCAAGAAACACAACCAUUCUUCUCUUUCAUUAGGGUUUUUGGCUGACUCUAAGGCCGUCUUACCUUCCUCUUAGAAUGAUGGCCUCUCGUUUCUAUACAUAUCCUUUCAUGCAUUUUCUGGCUCUCCCAUUCUCUUUUUCAAAGCUACGUCUUUCCUCAUAGACCCUGUUUGGUUUCUAAGAAAGUGGUCUAGGUCUCUUUCUUUUUCUUGAUUUAUCUUUUGGUUUACAAGAAUCAGCGACACAAUAAGACUGCCAUGAACGCAUGACGCAGCCACGUGGGAGAAGGCAGCAACCACUUUCGCAUUUUUACUAUGUAUCUCCAGAAACUCCUUUGUACAGCCCACACACGCGCUAAUGAAGCAGAUUCAGCAGAUUUUAAGAGGGGGAAUCUUGAAACCACACAACAUCAAGAGACUUGGCCGGAAGUGUGAUGAUGGGUGUUUCCGAAGAAGAGUUAUAAUUCGCCCACUGUUAAAUAUGGUCAUAGCCGUGAAGGGUCCCACGAGCCUUGAAUUUGUCACUACAUGCAAAAUAUAUGCAGAAGUGAUUGAAAAUGCAUGGCCACCUUUUCCUGCAUGUGAAUGUGUUGAGCUCUAUGGUGCAAUUACUAAUGGAAUUCUCAAUUUAGCUGAUAAGUAUUUUGAGAUGCAAAAGCAUGAUGCUGUCCGGGCAUCGGAAAUUUAUCAGAAAGCAGGAGAGCCAUCAAGCAUUCACUCGACAAGCAAGAGUAACACAUAGGCCACACCAUUCUCCAAAUAGACACAACAACAUACAUUCUUGAAGGCAAGUCCCUUUUUAAAAUUUUAUCUUAGUUUAAUUUUAAUUUAUUUAGUUAGUUUAGAUGUUUUUUUCAAAAUUAGUUUAAUUAAUUCUACAUGAUAAAGCUCUUAUUUUUCAUUUCGAUUUAGUUUAGUGUUGAUUUUUCUUUUAGUUUAAGUGUGUUUGCGAUUUUAAUUCAAUAGCUUAAUUAUUCUUAUUAGAUAAAGUUCAUAUAUAUAUAUAUAUAUAUAUAUAUAUAUAUAUUAUCCCAAAUUAGUUUAGUUUUAAUCUAUCUUUUAGUUUAAGUGUGUUAGUAAUUUUAAUUUAGUUGUUUAAAUAAUCAUGUGAGAUAAAGUUCAUGUUUUUAAUUCUAAUUAGUUUCAUCUUAAUUUAUUCUUUAGUUUAGAUUUGUUGUUGACAGUAAUUUACUAUUUUAAUUAAUCUUAUUAGAUAAAGUCUAAUUAAAAUUAGGUUAGUUUUAAUUUAUUCUAUAGUUUGAGUGUGUUUGCGAUUUUAAUUCAAUUGUUUAAUUAAUCCUCUUAGGUAAAGAUCUUGUUUUUAAUUCCGAUUUAGUUUAGUUUUAAUUUACUUAUUUAUUUAUUUUAGUUAAGAUGUGUUUGUAAUUUUAAUUCGACAAUUUAAUCGACCUUAUUAGAUAAAGUUGAUGUUUUUAAUUCCAAUUUAGUUUAAUUUUAAUUUAUUUUUUAGUUUAAAUGUGUCUGUGUGUUUAAUUGACCUUAUGCUAGCUCUUGAUUUGUUAUUCUCAAUUUAGGUGUUUUCUUGAAUCUUAGUCAUUAAUUCUUGGUGGAUAUCUCAUUAGUUUAUUUUAUCUAAGUCUUAAUAAUUUAUUAUUUCGAUAGUCUCUUGUCAAAUUUACUUUUCAGAGGCCAUCGGAAAAUAGUGAAGAUUGACCUCCAUUCUCACCACUUUAGUUUGUUUGGUUGUCAAAAUUUUUACUUUGUGAUUUUGUUUGCUUUUAUUUUGCUUGUUUCUUAUGUUUUGAUUGUUUUCAAAUUAAUUUCUUUUAUUUUAAAAUAAAAUAUUUUUCUCAAAAGAUCCAUUUGAAAAUUCUAUUUUAAAAAUCAUUCAUUUAGACUCCUUAGAAUCAAAAUCUCAUUUUUUAAUAAUAUGUAACCAUGUCUUGAUCGGUUUGUAUCUUUCACAGUUUUCAAUCAAAAUUCCGAUUUGGAAUGGAAUAUGAAUCCGAGCUUGUGGUCCCAAACAAAUGGGAUAAUUCUGGUCUAGAUUUGUGUAUAUCAAUUGAGGAAUUGGUGGAACCCCUACAUAAGAAAAUUCUUCAAAACUCAUCUUUGCAGCCACCUUUGCUAUUUCAUGAAAUCAUGUAUAUUUAUUAUUUAGGAAUUAUAUACAAGAUGUAUGUGAUAAUUGAUGAUUUCGUAUACUUUGAUCAUUUUUGCUAGGCUAAUUAGAUAACAAGCACAUUAGGAUUUUUUUUAUUUUAUUAUCUAACCCCUCAUGUCUUGUAGAAGCAUGUUACAAGUCAUCUAUCCUAAUAUAUAUUUUAUUAUAUAUUAGUUUUUUUUUUCUUUUUUUAAUCCUAUCUAUGUUGUUGAUAUUAAUGCAUUGAAUUUGAUGCUACCUAAAACAAAAUUAUAUUUCAUGUCCUCUAUUAUAAGUGGACAAUCAUUCCUUAUUUUAGAUUUUAGAUAAAGAACGAAUAAUGAAGAUUGGAGUUGUAAGAAAUUAGGAGAUCCUAAUUUUAAAUAUGUAACAAAGUUCUAUAAUCACUCCAGUACGUUUAAAAUUUGUAUUUCUUUCUAAUAUGGGAGCAAACUUUUUCCUUCUUUCUUAUAAUUUUCAUUUGGGAAUGAUUUAAAAAUAAAUAAAUAAAGGCCCUUCUAAAUAUUAAAAAAACACUCUCUUAUAAAAAUUAAUUAGGUGGAUGGUAAGGUCAAAUUCGGGAUAGCUUCAUAUUUUUUGCUUUAACUGAAAAUUAAAAUCAAAAUUAAAGUAAGAAUUUUUAAGAUGUUGUAAAAGUUUUAUUAAACAUGAAAGAACUUAUUGUGUAAACAAAAAUAGAACUAUAGAAUUUUUAUAAGAAAUAACAUUUUUAUGACUUCUAUAUGAAACCUUUUUUAAAAGUGAUAAGUUUUUUUUUUUAAAUAAUUAAAUAGGUAUAAAAACUUUUAUUCAACUUAAUUUUUUUUAACGGUUAAAAGUCAAUUCAAAUAAAAUUUAAAUAUAUUUGAAAAUCAUUUUUAAAAAUAAAAAAAAAAAACCACUUUUUUUUUAAUUUACAUUUAAUUCAUGAAAUUUCAUUUAUUGUUAUUUAUUUUCGGGAUUUAAUUCUUUGCAAUUGUUUUUGAGUGUUUAUAAAGUAUAAUUAGGUUAUGCCCAAAUUUAUUCCUUUAACUCUAUCCAUUAGAUAUAAGUAGCGUGAAAUUUUGGCCCAUCUCCACCUUUCUUCACUUCUGACAUUGUCAUGCACUACUUCAUCAACUCCAAACACAACCGCUGAGGAUCGAAGAAAAUGAGACAAUGGUCAAUAAAAUGAAAGUUUAAUCAUUUAAUCUUUUUUAGCACACCCCUCAUAACUGUCAGUGAUUUCCUGCCAACUUAACAUAUUGACAUGGACUUGGAGAGUUCGGUCAAUUGCAGCAGCUUGGUUAAUUGUAAGUGUCUUUUCUCUAAACCAUAAAUUCCUACGUUUUAAUUUACAAAAGCCAGUGAUUUUUUUUUACUUAAGGAAGCAGGAAAGGGUUUAAAAUAAGAGUUGAAAAGUAUGCCAAUUAUUUUAACUUUAAGAAAAAACGUUUAUUUUAAUUUAAAAUAAGUAAAUCAAAAGGAAUUGAUUUUAUCUCAAUUGUAUAAGAUUUUAUAAAAAUUAUCUUAUUUGCAAAAUAUUUUCAGAUGUAAAAGUAAAAAAUUAAACAAAUCAUUUGAUGAUCAUAGUCUAAUUUUAAAUUAUUAGAAUAAGUCAAUCCUCUAAACUAUAUCAUUUAUAAUUUUUUUGAUUAUUAAUAUGAUACGUAACCUUCCACGGAAUUGGAAUAAAAUAUGGAUAAUUAAAAAAUGUCAACUAUCCCAUUUCAAACUUUUCUAAUAUAGCAUGAUAUUUUAACAUGAUGAAUGAAAUGGGAAUGACCAAAAAUUGUAAAAUCAAAGAUAUAUCUAUUGUGGACAUGGCAUUCGGAGGCUUCUUAACAUUGUAUUGGUCUACUUAAUGAGUUGAAACAGGAACACAACACCAAAUUCUCUUUUUAUAAUCAAAGACUUCCAUGGAAAAUUCCACCAUAUCAUAUCUCAAAGAUUAGUCAAAUUCCAUUAUCUUUAUAGACUUUUAACAAUCCAAGAAAUUGACAUUAAUAAUCCCAUACACAAUAUUCUACAACUUUACAUUAUCUUGAUUGAAGAUAAUCAUAUUAUUUCAUUAACAAUUCAAGAAAUUCCAUUAUCAAUCAAAAAAUAAAUCAUGAAAGCUAAAUAAUACAAAUAUUCAAUGAAAUCUUUGGCGUGUUAUUUCUUUACAGCUUCAACAUGGUGGCAUGUCCGACGGAGGAGGCAGCAUUUGAGCUUCCGGGUGUUUACCAUUUUUCAUUAUGAACGCAGUUUCCAUGCCCCAAGUCAGAUGGCGUUCUACAUGGCAGUGCAUGAACCACACUCCUGCAACAGAGAAAAUAUACCAACAUUACACCUAACUUAAUUGUAAUAUUAAGAAAAAUUAUUUCCUUGGUAUGCAGGUUAGCAGUUUCAAGGGUUUUUAUUUUUUAUUUUUAAUAGACGACAUGAGUGCUUGGAACAUACCAGGGUUGGAUGCCUCAAAUCUGAUUGCAACCCAACCAUUCGAAGGAACGGAGAUGGUAUUCUGAAAGGGAGGAUCCACCAAAUUAUAGCGUAAAGGGUCCUUAUUUCCAUCGAAAUUCCCAAAUCCCCAUCCAACAACAUAGAAACUGUAUCCAUGGAGAUGCAUGGGGUGGUGUGUUGCUGCAAGCACGUUUGUCCCUUGAAAAACAAUCUCCACUGUGGAGUUAUACUCGAGCACCCUUACUUCUGUUCCGCUGCUUGGCAACUGAUAGAUUAAUGGAAGAUAAUCAGCUGUAAAAUCGAACACCAGUGGUAGAUCGCUAGGAAAUUUAUCUCCAUAAACACCACUGAUGUUAUAAUAGUAAGCUUGUAGUAUGUCAACUGUAGGGGUAUCGAAGCUUAUGUUGUUUAUACUUGAGGAGAACCGCGUCCCAUUGGCCCCUGCACAUGAAUUAUUGACGCAUGGGUACGAGUUUACAGAAACAGUGUAAAUCAGGUUAGUGCUUGUGCUCAAUGGGACAUUGCAAGGAUGUUCCGCAUCUACUAAGCUUCGAAGGCCGGCCAUGACCUGAACCGACGCAUUUGUGUCAUUGUAUGCAGGAAGAAGAGGGAAGGAUGGAGGCGAAGAUGGAGUGUAGUAUCCGUUGUACUGUACAAUAGCUGUGGUGGUUGUGUUAUCAUAAAAAUCUUGAUAUUUCGGGGCAACAGAAUAAGUUAUAGCUGCCAUGUAAUAGUGAUCCGGGCGUUGGUUAGCUUCUAGUAAGACAUCGUAGGUUUGGCCAGGAAAUAUUGUGAUAAAAUCUCGUGUCAAUGGUUUCGUGUAGCUACCAUCUGUUCCAACCACUGUCAUUUUAUGCUUGGCAAUGGAGAAGAAGAGAGCCUCUUGUAAGGCAGCAUUGAUUAUGCGAAGUAGAUAGGUCUUUCCAUGAUCCACUGUUAGCUUGAAUGUGUCUGCAAUUAGAAAGGGAAAGUUGUAUACUUAUGACUAGCCAAAAAAAAAACAAAAAGUUUCCAUGAGGAUCCACCAAUUAUGAAGUGAUUGAUUGAUUAGGUGUGUAAAUUUGGCUGCAUAGUUCAAAAUUAUAUUUGGACUAGCCUUUUUUUUGUGUGUUAAAUCAUGGCUCUACCAUCCUUAUAGCUAUAUUCCUCUUUCUUAGCAUUAACCUUUAAAUAUGUUGAUGUUAAUAAGAAAAAGUACUAGGGUUAACAUACAAGAAAAUGAAAUCAUGUACAAUUUUAAAACGGGAAGUUAAACUUUGUACCUGAUUUUGAGCAUGGAUAUAGAUCACCGGGUUGUCCAUUUAUCAAUAAAGCAUCAGAGGGGUCAGGGUCACCUCCGGUUGCAAGCCCUUCAUCUCGAACCGCAUUCACAUCAUUCUUCCACCAUUCUCCUGCAUUUCAACAACUUCAAUAAUUUUAGAUUUUGCUUUGUUGUUUAAUUCUUAAUAUGUAAAUUAACCUUUAAAAGUAACAACACUUAUACCUAAUAUGAUGGGGACCUCUCUGUCAGGCUUGUGAAAAGGAUACUUGGUUCCAUUCUUGGGAUAGAUGAUUAUAGCUCCAUGAACAGUGGCUCGGGUCCAGUCACUGUGAGCAUGCCACCAUAGAGUGCCUUCUUCAGUGGAAAGGAUGAUCUUCUGGGUAAACUUUGACCCUGGCUGAAUUGGGCAUUGUGUGAUAUACUCAGGACCAUCUGUCCAUGGAUAUCUAGGCAUGGUCACCCCAUGCCUGCGAAACCAUAACUAUACGUUAAAACUAGUACUAAUUUUCAAAGUAACAAAAGAUGGCAUGCAACAACAUAUUAUCAUAGUAACAAGAGGCAUCAACUGUAUUUCAAUGAAACUGAAGCAAAUAACCCUAAAGUAUUAUUUUAAAUUUGACUUUAUUUUCAAAGUAAUAUAUUGGAGCCCCCUCUUAGAAAUAAAAGAAUGUAUGCCAUGUUGGCAUGCUGCCACUGCUCUUUCUCUGAGACACGCAUAGGACCUACCAGUGAAUGGUAACGUUUUCGUUUCCCUUGUUAUAAACGUCGACAAUGAUCGUCUCUCCUUUCGUAGCAUAUAUGGUUGGUCCCGGAAAUUUUCCAUUUACUGUUAAGAUGUUCUUGGCACUACAAAGCCUUGUAUAUGAAGCUUCCCUCACCUGCAAUCAAUUAAAAGUUAACCAUGCAACCUCAUCCCAAAAGAAAUAUUACAUGCAUGAAUAGUUGCAUCGAUCCAUUCACGUAAGUGUAUAACCAAUUAGAAAUUGAUAGCAUGCAUGAACGACUCAAUGACACCAAGGUAAUAGAUCAUACGGUAUGAAAUGAGAGCCAUACUACUCCUUAAAUAUCAUGAUUAGAAGGUGGCGUUAAGGCCAGAAUCAUAUAUAGUAUUUACCACAAAAGUAAGCCGACGGGUUGAAGCUUGGCAAUGGAUGCCACCACCAAAAACUAGAAACGCUAAAAUUUGCAGGAGGAAAACCUUCAUGAUCAGCCACAUUUUCCUUGGAAUAAAAGCCUCUUCUCUUCUCUUGCCCUAAACACAACUCCUUCAAUUCUCUUACUACUUUUGAUGUAUUUCUUUCACAUGUGAUUCAUUAUAUAGGCAUGGUAAUUCUCUCGGGAUACAAUACUUCCUCUCCACGUGUCAAUAUAAGAGGAAGUGAUUUGAAUGUGUAUUGGUUUUUAAUGUUCUUUCAGGACGACUUCAAAAUAAUUAAUUAUGAUAUUUCUUACAAGUUACCUACGCGUUCUUUUAGAAUAAAUUUAAAAUAUUCUUUCACAAGUCUUUUAUUGAUUAUUUCAACAAAUGUUAAUUAAUUAAAUAUAUGUAGGAUGCUUUUAAAACUUUGACCUCCCUAUGAGUAGCCUUCUGAAGAUCGUUGGUGGCAAAGUUGUUUUCGUAUAGUUAAUACAAUUUGUCAUCGUCGUUGUUUUCGUUUGAAUGGGACAAAGUUGUUUCCAAUUUUUUUUAAAACUUGGGAAUUGAGAUUAUAAAAGACAAAGUUGUUAAUACAACUUCAGAAUCGAUGAUAAACUAAUUCGGUAUUUCAGAAUUUUCCAUAAAAAAACACAAAAAUAUAUUUUGUAAAAAGUUGAAAAUAGGAUACAAACAACCCCUUGUAGUAUUUUUUUUUUUCUCAACAAAAACCAAUUUAAUAACAAUAAUAAUAAAUAAUUAUAGAUUUAAAAGAUAAUCUGAAAUUUCUUUCAAUAUAUAAGCCUUGUACGUGAUGUUGGUUGACUAUUAUGAUAGUAAAUUCGGGAGGAUGCUUGCAUGUAAAAAUUUUAUUUUAUUUUAUUUUUAAUCAUGGAGCACAUUUUGAUAGAUUCUGAUUUAUAAUACUGCAUCAAUGGUCAUGAACAUUGCAAUCAUGAUUUUUUUUGAGAUGUUUAAAUGGACGUGAAAGAUAAGAAAUAGAUUUUCUAUUAAGAUAUUUGAAUGGAGAUGAAAGCAUGGGUAUAGGUUUGUACUAAGGAAAUGAACAUAUGAUUAAAAUAAACCUGAUACAGUUAGUCUAUAAGAAUGGAUCCUGUUUCUAACCUUUUAACACACAAAUUUGGAAACCUAAACCUCUGGAUUGUUUCUUUCCUAUAAUGGAAUCCUAUAUUCCUUCUCAAAGCAGCGCUGACUUUUCCCUUCCUACCAAAUACGAAGAGAAAAUCUUGACUAAUCUUGAUAAAGUUUUAAAAGUAUUCUACAUAUGUUUUAAAUUUAUUCUAAAAUAAUGUGUUUGAUUAAUUUCUUGGUCAAUUCUCAAAGUCAAACUUGUAUUUUGAAUUAGAAAAUUCAAGAGAUUCUAAGAAACUCAUCUUCUAGGAUACACAACCUGAUUGAAGCUGAGCUGUGAGAAAUUUUCACAAUUGUUAGCAUUCUUCAGGCAUUUGGUUUAUUUAAAUUUUGGUAAGUAAUCAAAUAUCAUACACAACCUGCUCUUUGAAGUGGUCCUGGAAGAACAUUCAAAACCAAUACACAUUCAAAUUACUUCGCUUAUAUUGAUACGCGGCGAGGAAUUGUUGAUACCCAAGCCACAUGUGAUCUGAUUUAAUGUAGCUGCCACAAAGUUGCUACUUUCAUUCUCAGACAGUCUGAAGCAAUUAGAAAAUGUGAAUCGGAGGCCCCCACAUUCCUUGGAUCUGUAGACACUUGAUGGACACAAAAUGUUUUCCAUAACUGUGCAAUCAUGGGCAUCUAUUUCUUCUAUACUUGAUGGAAGCUCUGGUAAUGAUUGAAGCCUCUUGCAAUAACCCAACCUAAGGCCUUUGAGCUGUGAAAGUUGAUUGAGGCUUGCAGGUAGAUUAACAAAAUUGUUUCUGCUCAGAUCUAAAUAUUCCAAUGAGCACAGAGAGCUAAAGUCAUUGGGAAUUGGUCCUUCCAAUAUGCGGCAAUCACUUAGAUUUAACUUUCUUAGGGAUCUUAAACCAAAGAAAGAUGCAGUUGCAAACGCCUAGAGCGUGGAAUUUCUGCAGGCAACAACUGGAAAGAGAGGAGCAAAUUCCUUGGCUUGGAUUCUAGUCCUUUACAUCCCUCAAAUGAUAAUACUUCAAGGUUUUCUGAAAGAGAAAUAGAGGGCGGCAGCUCUUUUACAGAGUUCCAGCUGCUCCGAGCUUCUCUAAACCUUGUAGGCUCCCCGAACCUCUGGCAAAUUGUCUAGUUUUGAGCAACCAGAUGGAAUAAGAGUUUGAAGAGAUUUCAACUUACAAAUGCUAUGUGGAAGAAUUGCAAGGCUUUUGCAUUCUCUCAGAUUCAACAGAACAAGUCCACUUAGAUGUUGGAUAGGUGAAGUUAGCUCUUUUAGAGCAGUUCCAUCUAAGAAAAGUUCCAACAAACUCCCCAUAUUUUCCAAGACUUCUGGAAGCUCUUUUGAGUUUUAAGCAAUCUGAGAGAAUAAGAAUUUCAAGGGAUCUCAACCUAUAAAUACAGCUUGGUAAUGACUCAGGGUUUUGACAGUUCCUCAGAUUUAAUAAAACAGGUCCAGUCAGAUAUUCAAUCGACAAGGGCAAUCCUUUUACUGCAGUGCCCUCCAAGGAAAGCUCUGAUAAAUGUUUCAUGCACCCUUGGACCUCUGGAAACUUCUUGAGUUUCGAGCACCCGGAGAGAGUAAGAAUUUUGAAGAGAUUCCAUACAGAUGCUUCUUAGAAAACUCUUAAGAUUCUCGCAGCCUUCUAAAUUAAGGAAAACAAGCUUGUUUAGAUCUCCAGUGGAUGGGUGAACCUUGGACAAACUUGUACAACCUUCAAGAAUUAGUCUCCUAAGGUUUGGGGCCCCCGAGAAGUCUGGGGUUUCAAUCAGGUGUUGGGAGUAGCUAAGUUUUACGAAUUUCAAUUGCUGAUACAUCUGUCAAAAACAAAACAGAAAAAAUGAUUAUAAUUCGUUUAAAGUGAAAGACGAAACUUGCAAAGAUUAUAAUCAUAUACCUUGAGUCCUUUCCAAAGUUGUUCAACUCGACUGUAACUCAUAUUUAGCUCGACAAGCUGCUCAGGAUGAAAAUUUAAUGGGAGGGAUUUCAGAGGGUAUCCAUGCCAAUAUAGACAUCUUAAGUUGUUCGAUAGAGAUUUGAAGUCUCCAGAAAGAAGCAAUUUACAGUCUUUGAAUUGAUUGAGCUUAUUCAUCCUUGUGCAAGCAUCAGCCAGCACAUAACUGUUUCCAAGAAAAAUAUUCAAAGCUUCCACAUAGCCGCACGUUACAGACUUUGAGCAAUCUUAAUUUGUUCAUCUUCAUGAAGGCAUCAAAACUGAAGUGUAGUUCCUUUGAUGCUGACAAGUCAAGGACUAUGCCUUCAACUACUUCAGUUCCUUGCAAUUAACCAGGAACAGAGUAUGGAUUGGAAAUUAAAAUCACAAAAUUCUAAAAGGAAAAGCACAGAAAGCAUCAAACUAAUGACUUGUUUUCUUGUUUUUUUAGGCAGUGUUCUAGGAAGCAAGUAUGAAGAUAAAAGAAAAUGCAUCUACUAAGACAGAAACUCAGGGAAAAGUUAGCAAAGGAUUCAAAUCAAAUCAUUCCCCCAGCUUUAUAUCUGCCUUUGCAUACAUAAAUAUGCAAUACCUUAUUAAAAUUGUACAUAUAUGUGAGUUUCUCAAAUAAGUUGAAAUUAUUCAAACUUCCUCUUCACCUAUAGAGCUUAUAUAUACAAAAAGGGAACACACACACAAAGUUCAUGUAUUUAGGUCUUACUAUGUUUCUAGUUAAUGCAUCACUAACAUCUUCAUGAAUCCACAAUCUGCUGUGUUUUCCAGGAUAUUUAAGAGAUUCUUGCCAAACAAUUUCCCAACCCAUUUCUUGUAACAAAUCAUGCAUGCACAACUUAUUAUCUGAAACAAUUAUGAGUGACUUAUCAACGAGAACCCUUAUUCCAAUAUCCGGAAAGAAACCACAACUCUCUAGUAUUUCUGUGACAAAAUCUUUGUCCUCCCAUUUUCAAAAGCAUGCAAUAUCGAGAAAUAUAUCUCUUUGUCAUCUAAUCCAUCAAAACCCAUUUUAAGCACGUUCUGAAUUUCCAUGUUGCUAAUUCUUUUUAGUUUGUCCAAUUCACUUUUCCAUUCAAGUAUGCUCUUGCUAUACAAAAAAGCACCUAAGACUUCAAGAGCUAAGGGAAGACCCUUACUAUAAUGUAUUACAUCAUAGCAUAGCUGCAUAUAAUCUUCUCCAGGGUGGUUAUGUUUAAAGGCAUACUGACGAAAGAGUUGAAAAGCUUCACUAUCCUCUAAUCCCCUAACUUCAUAAAUUGCACUGACUCCAUGUGUAACAAGCAAAUGCUUUUCUCUGCUUGUUAUAAUAAUUCUACUUCCUGAACCAAACCAAUCAUGGUUUCCUGCUUAAUAUUCUAACUGUUCCAAGUUAUCCACAUCAUCAAGAACAAUAAGAACCUUCUUAGAGUGGAGCCUAUCCUUUACAAAAUUGAUUCUUGUAUUGGAAAUUCCUACAUUUGGAUUUCCAUCCUUCAAUGUCUUUGAGAGAAGUUCCACUUGUAAAUGAUCUAGAACACAUUUUUGUGAGCCUUCUCUAACACUUGUAAAUGAUCCAAUAAUUGGUUCAAACAGUUCAAAAUUGGUCCAAUAAAUAUACCCUUCAAAAGGAGAAAUUGAACCAGAAAUGUCGCUUGGUGGUUGGAUCAAUUAGACCAACUGAUUUGUUUCAAUUUUCAAAAAAUAUUGCUUUAACAUGUAUGAUAAUCAAAAUAUAGGAAAAAAAACUAUUUACUAAGAAAUGAGAUUAUUAUAACAAAAUAGAAAAUGUAAUCUAUUUUAAUGAUAUGAUGACUUGUAACUAGAUGAAACUUUGACCAGCAAAGAAAAACAAACAAAUCUUGAGGAAUUAGAAAAUAUUAUCUUUUAUAUUAAACUUAUCUUUGUGUAAAAGCUCUCUACAAUUAACUAUGGGUUUUCAUAAAGCUUUAUUUAGGCUAUGUUACAUUCUUGGAAAUUAAAAAAAAAAAAAUGUAAGAAAUUAAUAAAUUAUUUUUUUCAUUAAUAUAAAUUAAAUAAUUAAAAUACCUAAAUUUUUCAAAAUUGUUAAUCAUGGUAGUGGGCCUUUGAUCAGCCAAAGAUAGCCCAUGCAUCAUUUGCCAAAAUUGUUAAUCAUAGUAGUGGGCCUUUGAUCAGCCAAAGAUAGCCCAUGCAUCAUUUGCCAAAGUGAAGCACAACAACCUUAUAAUAGGGAUGUCACAUAGUAAUUCAUUAUUCAUUAUUUUGUUUUCCCUUUUCAAUGUGGAUUUUCUUAAAGCUAUUAAAAAAUCACAUAAUAUCAAGAUUUGAGCAUGGGUCUUUCACAAUAUCUUUUAUAUACUAAUAAUUAUAAAUUAAUUAAAAUGAAAGAAUUAUAAAUAAGUUAAUUUUAAUUAUCUUAUUAUGUCUCUUAUACAAUGAUUUAAUAUAGGACAAAUAUAAAUUUAUAAAUAAAAUUAUUAACAUUUUCAAAUAAAAAAUAUAAAUAUAUAUCAAUAUAUUUUUUAUAUCCUUCAAUAUAUCUAAACUUAAUGCAUUAUCAUUUUAGUAUUAAUGUUUCCCAAUUCGGUAUAUUAUUAUCUAAUAUUACAAAUUUUUUAUACAUUUAUCAAUUUUUCUUAAAACAAUAUCAAUAUAUACAUCAUUAUUUUUCUAUCAUUUUUUGAGUUAUUUCCAACAUUUCAUGAGGUUUUAUCGAUUUCCAUCUCAUAUAUAUAUAUAUAUUUCAGAAUUUUCAUUGAUAUUUGUUUAUAUAUCUAUAAACUAGAACUAAUGAUAUAUCAGUAAAAAUCAAUAUUUUCAUUCUUAUUUAACAUAAGAAAGAAAAUUAUUCAAAUGGUGCAUAAAUUAAUGUGAUCUCCUGAUGAGAAUGACAACAACAACCAUGAGUCAUAGUUAGUGUAUGUGUGUGGUAAAUUAACUUAGUGUUUGAUAAAAUAAUUAUUUAUCAUCAUUUAAAAUUUAAAAAUAAAUUUAAAUAUUAAAUCAAAAUAAUUAACUUAUUCUAAAUACUAAAUUUUUUUAUUCUCUUUGUUCAUAUUUGGUGAUAACCAUGCUUUAUUUUUAGAAUUCUUUUUUUUAGUAAAUAUUUUUUAGUUAUUUUGUAGCUUCACAAUAGUACUUUUUAAUAUAAAUGUUUAACAAGCUUAAGUUUAUGAAGAUAAUUAUUAAGAAAAAUUAAUGAGUUUAAAUAUAUCAAUAUAAUAACUUUAAAAAAAUUAAGUUGAUUUUACCAAAAUUAAAGUAAAAAUAAUUCAUCUUAAAAUUAAUUUCAAUAAUUCGGUAAUAAGGAUUAAGUUGUAUCAUAUACUCUCUUAAUUAAAAAAUGACAUAACUUCUUUCAACAACUUCUUCAUUCUACUUUUGAAAAAAUAAGAUAAAUUAAAUUAAAAAUUAAAGUGAUAUUUAUUUAUUUAUUUAUGUCUAAAAUUUAAUGUACUUGAAUUUGACUUAAAUCUAACUAUAACUUAAUAUCAUUAAGUGUCUAGACUCUUUUUUUUUAUUAGUGUCUAAAUAUUAUUAACCGUUAAAUUGUUUAUUUUUAUUAAUAUCAAAAUAUGUGAAGUGUUAAAUUUAUUUAUUUUUGGUUAAAAACAUUUACAAAAGUAAUUGUUAUAUUUCUUCUUAUUUUAAUUUGAAAAGUUAUAAUUUAACAAAAUAGUAAUUUAAUUAACACAUCUAAAAAUAUUAUAAUACAUUAUCAAAGUAAAAAUUUUAUAAUGAUAAUUAUGUAAUUAGUAAAUAAUAUUAUUGUACAAUCCAUUGUUCCAUGUCGUAUAUUAUAGCAUAGUUGUGCAUACCCAUCAGUGCAUAGACAUAUCUUUUGAUAAUCUAUCAUGAAUGUCUCGUGGACUCUACAGGAAGUAUGUAGCUAUUAUAGUAUAAAGAUGGCGUAGGAAGAGGCUCCAGGUUUAGUAGUUCACACUCAACCAUAGCAAUAGGGAAUAUAUUGCACAUUAUUUCCAUCUAAAAGAAAGAUAGAAAAGACCUUAUAAAUGGAACUUUUAGAUAAAAACUAAGGGUCACAAUGAGAUGACUCUAAGAAGGAUCACCUCAAUCUCAAUCUUAUGUCAUUUAUUUAUAUUAAAUGGGGUGAGAUAAGACAAAAUUAUAUUCGAACCUGUCCUGAACUUGGUCUGAGGCCAAGAAGGGUCUCUAAAAUAAUAAGCCUCAUUGUCAUUCUUAGGUACACAUCUAUACCAAUGAAAGUUUUUACAUCUAUUAAAAAAUUCAAUGUUCCCGAUGUUAAUUAACUUCACUAGACUACAUACACUUAAAAUGCAUGAAAAAAUGUCAAAAUUCUCAACCAAUUAAUGACAUAAACUAAAAUCAAGUUUAGUACAUCAUAACCCUAAAAUACCUCCAAACCCCAUUUCUUGUAAGACCCCCUUCUGAUUAGGUUGCAAAUGUUGAAGUACUUUAUACACUUAAUUAGGUGAACAACAAGUGUCAAGAUAAGACUUCAAGCCAUACAUAUACAUAUGCAUAUAUAUUUAAAAUUGAAAGAAAAUAUUAUCAAAUUUUAAAAAGAUAAAUUUCAAAUUUUUUUUUUACCUUUGAUACAUUUUUUGAGCUUGUACCCUUUUGUUUUACAUAUUCAUUGGAGCAUUUCUUUGACUUCCCAAAGAACUUUUUUUUUUCUAGGACUAAAAACUUUUUUCCUUAAUCGACUUGGGAUAUUAUAUACACCCACAACCUAACUUAGUAGUUUUAAAAUUAAUUGGUUAAAAAGAAUGAAAUAAUCCCAAAAUUUGUAAAUAUAACAAGAUUGUGUUUUUACUUGAAAAGUAGCCCAUUUUGACAUAAAUGUCUUUCGCCAUUUCAAUUAUUUACAUUUAAAUUUAAAAAAAAAGUUAUGACAUUUUUGUCAAAAGAAGGACACAAAAAGAUCAAAAGUUAAAUUUCCAGAUUUAGUUUUUUAAUAGAUAUUUUAAUAAAAUAAACCUUAGUUUUAUAUCACAUAAUGUUUCUUCUUUAUUGUUCUUUAAUCCCUUUUAUUUAUUUAUUUAUUUUAUCAUACACGACCUAUUAAAUUUGAAAAUUUUAACAAUUUCUUGCAGUGCAUGCCUACGUGCUUAUCACAUGAGCUUCUCCAUCUAUACUAGCUAGGGAUCCAUUUGAUAAUUUCUUUUAGUGUCCACAUGCUUAUCACAUGGACCUCUUCACUUCUAUUAAUAGGGGUCCAUUUGGUAUUUCAAAAUAGUUCAAGGGCUUUGCUUAAGAAAAGCUUAGAGACUAGUUCGAAACAAUGUUUUUAGAACCCAACUAGUUAUUGAAUAAAAAAAGUUAUUGAUUCAUUGUCUAGUGGUCAAAUUAAUGUUUGAACUGCAGUCAAAUUGGUGACAUCAUAAAUAUAUAAAUUAUAUAUUAAAAAAAAUUAUAAAAUUAUAAAACUUAUUUUUCAUCUUUGACAUUUCCAAACUUAAAUCAUGAAUAAAUAUAAAUAUAUUAAUAUUUUAAAUUUUAUAAAUAAAAUUUGUGUAACAUUCAUAUGUAAAGAAAUAUAUUUAAAUAGAAUAAAAUUCUUUUGUUCAUAAUUUAUUUUACUUAUAUUAUAUUAUUUAGUUGUAUUACAAAAUUUAAAAUAAUUAUGUUAAUUUAGGUUUAGUUUGCAUUUUUUAAAUUAUAAUCAUUAAUAACAAAGUGGUGAUAGCCUAAACAUGAUCUAAAGGUCCAUGGUUCAAACCCUUGGUUCCUCAUCAUUUUCCUGGUCUCAUUAGGUGGGCUAGGCUUGGUAUGCGAAGGGCUAACCUUCCACCCAUGAUCCAACCUUUUAGUUGAUGAAAAAAGAAGGCUAACCUAGAAUCGAUAGACCAUGGUUCAAAGUUGUGGUUGCGGUCACUAACUUGGAGGGUCUUGCGGCACAUUGGUCUUGACAUCUUAGCUUGAUAUUAGAUGAUAUGUAAAAUAAGAUAAAUAAAAAUUAUAAAAUUAUAAAAUAUUAUAAUAAAUAUUUAAAAAAUAAAUAUAAUUAAAUAAACUUAAAAUUUAAUAAAAUAAAAUAUUAUGAAAAUUAAAAUUGUUCAAUAAAUUUUUAAUAUUGAAAUUGAAAACAAAAACUCUUUAAUUACCAAACUCAAAUUAAAAAAUAAAAUAAAAUGUGAUGAUUUUUACCACACAUUAGCAUUUAAAAAUUGAAACAAUAAAAUAACAUAUAUUAUUGAUACUAUCAUUUAAAACAACAAAUAUAUUGUUGAUAAUGGCAUUUAAAACUAUAAAAUAGUGCAUUAGACCUGCAUUCAAAUCUUCAAUUCUCAAACACCACCAACCCACCCAUGAAUAGAGAAAGAGAAGAGAACCCUAGCAAAAGUAGAGAGCUUCAAUUCUCAAAUCUUCAAUUUUCUUUUUAUGUGUUCAAGUGAUUUUUAUUUGUUAAAUGAUUCCAGCUACUACUUGGGUCUAGUAUUUCCUUGGUGUAUAUAUCAUGCACUUCUCAGUAGAAAGCCCAUAGACUAAUAUAAAGGAGAAACAAGUUUUUAUUUAUUUGCAAUGCCUAAUAUAAAAUUUAAUAAGCACCUAAUUUUUUAUUUCAGCUAUGAAUGAUAUUUUUCUCUAGAUCAUAAGUACGUUGGUUGAAUUAAAAAAAAUUUAUACCAUUUCAGCCACUAAUUAAUAUCAUGCAAUAGAAAAACAAAAUUGAAAUUUGGGAUAAUAAAUAUCAUUAAAGUACAAAGAAAGUAACUUAUUGGGAGCAAAUUCUUCACAACCUGGCAUUCGCCUUUAGAUUGAAUAAUUUAUUAAUAAUCUCCUCUUUCUUUCUAAACUUCACCGCUGUUUAUGAAAGUUUCUAAAAACCAAAGCCCAAAGCCUAGACUAUAAAAAGGAAACAAUCACUUGGAGAGGGGUUGUUUGUUUUUCUUGGGAGCCUAAUAAAUGCAACGGCAUAGACAGAAAGAGGCGGAAGAGUUGAGUCGGAGGAUCAAGAAACACAACCAUUCUUCUCUUUCAUUUCUAUACAUAUCCUUCCAUGCAUUCUCUGGCUCUCCCAUUCUCUUUUUCAAAGCUACAUCUUUCCUCAUAGACCCUGUUUGGUUUCUAAGAAAGUGGUCUAGGUCUCUUUCUUUUUCUUGAUUUAUCUUUGGUUUACAAGAAUCAGGAGUGAAGUAAAGUGGGCUCUUGAUUUAUGUUUGAUUUUUCUUAUUCAAACCUAUGUUUUGAUCUUUUCUCUCCAGCUCUUGUGGUCUAGGUCUAAUAUGCGUUGUGUUUUCUUUCUUUUUUCUUGGUUUUUGUUUGGUUUUCCAAGAAAGUGAAGGAAAAGGAACUCUUUACUCUCUUGGCAUAUUCCACUUAGGAUUGUCCUCCUACAUCCUUUGAUGCUUUAGUGUUUGGUCAUUAGUUGUUUUUAAGCCCUUAUUGAUGGUCCAUUAAGACAUUUUAAAGGGAUUAGGCGGAUCCCUAUCUUGAUUUUAGUGAUUUUUGAAUCUUAGUUUUAAUUGAUUUAUAACAUAUUUAGGCUUGUUUAGAACUUUUAAAAUUCAUAAUUUUGAAUGUGCCAAAUACCCCCUUCCAUCAAUUCCAACUGCAGCAACUGCCAUUCAAAGAUGCUAGCCACAUAUUAAACCCAUGCAUGAACCCCCAGCCAGAUACCCAUUUUUUCCUCCAUCCAUCAACCACCUUCUUACUCCCACCACCGCCACUGCUCACCAUUCCCACUUCUCCUCCACCACCAUGGCCACCACCGCUUCUGGCUCUGUCUUCCUCCUUCUGCUCCUUGCUGCCAGCGCUGCCGUUGAUGGCAGAGUCAUAAGCAACCGCACAUCGUCCACCGGCCUAGUCUCUGACGGCGUCCACGACCACCGCAAUGGUUUGCCUUAUCUUCUUCUCAGGUCUUUUUCGGCCGUUUCAGCCUCGGAUUCAUGUGAUCAUAUAGUAAACCCAAAUGGAAAUCAAACCUUCACAACCCGCUCACCUUUCCGAUGCCCGUGAUGAUCAAGUCUGGCACUCGAAAGAGAGAGGACAACUGGGUCAUCUCCCUCUUCGUGAUCCUCCACAUUGGGCCCUUCUUGCAUCGCCUUGGAUUUGAAACUGACCGGUUUAGAACCAUAACUCCUGCACGCGAGAGAGAUCACCAUAAGCCAUGCAAGGGAGCAUGCCAGUCACGUUCUCUAACUGCCAUGCAUCCGGUGAAGCGGUUUUGCGAGGAGAAGCCUCCAGAAGAGAAUCUUUUCGGUUGCGGGAAUAUAAAGAUCACGCCAGAAAGAAUAAAGAGGGCUGUUCUAGAGACUUCGGAGGAGGAGAGAGGAAAGGAAAACUGACAUAGAGAGUCUCUGUUUCUGGGCGUUUUUUGGAAGAGAGUUCAAAGAUCUUCUUUCUGUAGAAGAUCAUCACAUGCACCGAUUCAAAGAAUUUAGAGAACUUCUCGUUAGAGUCAAGGUUCUCAUCAUUCUAGACCUUCAUGAACAUCUUCUUCACGGCGGCAUUGGCAUCCCGAUUCCUGAACCUCCAUGAUUGAUUGAUCUCCAUCAUCUUCACGAUCGUGCACAAGUUCUGAAAGUAGAGACGUGAAUCUCUUCAUCGUCUUCACUCUCUAUACUUGUAUCUCGAAGGUUAUCCCGGUUUCUAUGUGCAUCGGAUCUCCAUAGGAAAAAUUAGAGAAUGAAUAGAGGUUGACUGUCAGCCCCUUAGACCCUUGACUUAACCAUGGAGGAAUAGGCCUCAUGGGUAGGCCUUGCACCCAUGAAAGCCUAGGAUGAAAGCAGGGAAAUCCUGGAGGUUUGGUGGUUCAAACUCUAGGAGGCAUGUGAGGAGGCCGCAGGUGAGCCAGACAAGCACUGCGCGCGCAUCGCGGGCGAGGCAGACACGCACCACGCGCACACAGUGGGCAAGCCAGACGCGCACCGCGCGCGCACAGUGGGCGAGCUAGACGCGCACCGCAUGCACACCACAGGCGAGCCAGACAUGCACCGCGUGUGCACCAGAUGGGCAUCGCGCGCGCAUCUGACUUAGGUGGUGCAGAUGAAGGCUGAGGGACUUGGAAUUUUAAUUUAUAAUUAAAAUUAUUAUUCCAUUAUGCCUUCUCAGACAUAUUGAUGUCUCCUCAAGAAACAAUGAAAAUGGCUCGUAUUGCUCUUUAAGGGGGGGGGUAGGUGACUCAAAGGAGGGAGCCACCAAGAGAAGCCUUGACCGCACCAAGGGGGCACCAUGGCAUGGCCUUGGGCGUGCCUAAGACACACGACAUGACUCGAGCACGCACACAUGGGCUCCACGACAUGUGUGGUGUGCACCCCAUGGCCGCAACGGCACGGGGCCUGGUGCGGCCUGACCCCUCCCCGUGCAGGCACGAGGGAACCUAAGCCUUGUGCGGUAAGCCAGUUAAUGAAACCAUGGGCACAAUGCCAUGGUCUGAUGGCUCCAAUAGCUGACUCGCAUCAAGAUGCCUACGCAAAGCACAGGGUGCAAUGCCCUGUGCACCAAGAGGGAUCAGUCAUGGGCGCAAUGCCAUGGCUCGUUGCUUGGAAGCUGGGAAGCAAGCAACAAGCCCAAGCCAUGGGCACCUAGACAUGGCAUGGGUUCAUUCAUUAGUGUGGGGAAGGCACACUGAUGCACUAGACGCUUGGUCAAAUGGGUGGAGCACGUUGCCUGGCUUAGAGGGCCUUGAUCAAAGACAUGCUGAUGGGCACCUGGUCACAAGAGGCACCUUACGGGGGAGGGGUCAGCUUGUUAGGGGGACUCACCAGUAGCUUGGCGAGCAAGACCUGAGGAGAUGGCAGUGCAGCUAGCUAGUGGCAGCUAGCUCAGUGACCAAGUCAAGCCGUCAUUUGAACUGCAGUUGGCUGAGGGAUGAUGGCUGGUGCAAGUGGGUGGCAUGUGCAGGCCACUAUCUAGGUGGUGGGUGGUUAUGCAGGGCAGUUGAGGGCGGUUCUGGCCAGUUGCAUAACCACCAAAGUUGGCUUCAAGAUUUGAAUUGGAAAUUCAAAUUUGUAAUUGCAGCUUGAGUCUUUUAAAAGGGCUCCUGCAGCCUUCAAACAGGGAGAGAGAGUUUUGGGGAAAGGGUUCCUUCUCGUAUGCCUUGGGUGAGAGCAUUGUACUCUAGUUCAGGAAGCAAUUUUGUCUUGCAAGAGUGAUUAAUACAAGUUAGGAAAGGAUUCUCGUAACCUCAUGUGUCCCUGUUGCUUUGUUAUUUCUGUGUUCUACUCUGUUUUUCUAAACGUUAGGAUGGAAGGUUGGCUAAGGACUGGUCCUUAGCACCGCGCACUCGUGAAAAAUUCAGUGAGAUAUUCAGGGGUAUGACACUGACCAUGAUUACUAUAUCUAGAUAUAUGUUAUGGAAUAAUGGCAGUUGUAGUAAAUAAUACACAAUGGGUUACAGGAUAAUGUUGAUGCUUGUUGAUUUUUUUAAUAAAUACUACAUAUAGAAAAGUAGAUGUAUAACCAGCCAUAAGUGUUUUUAGUGGCUCUUGAUUACAAGUUAUUGUGCCUUGUUCAUAUGUAUUAUUUUUUUCUUCUACAUGUUUAGUGUUGUCAUUUUAGUUCCAAGUAUAAUAUUCGAUUCCUUAAUUCUAAUCUUUAUUGCCAAUAUUUUCACUUUAUUCAUGAUUUUUUUGAAUACAUGUUAGUUUAGGUUGGGUGUGGACAAUUUGGGCUACGCAUGAGUGUUGUUAGAAUUUGAUAUUUAGGAAACUAAAUGAUUAAAUGUGGAUUGCUUGGUGAAUUAUGAUUGAGAUUGAGUUAUUUUUUUCUCUUUUUAUUCAAAACUUCUUUUCAUCUAAAUAAGUCAUUGGAUAAUCACAUGAUAAUUGGCUUUGAAUAAAUUCUCCUCAUUUUGAUUCUUAGAAAUUUGAUUUGUCUUAAUUUUCUAAAAUAAUUCACACAUGUACAUUUACAUUUUUUAAUAAUCCAAAUUUAAAAAUAUACAUGAACCGUUUUCCUUUUUUGGAAAAUUGAUUUUAUACCUCAUUCAUAACAAGAUCAAUCUUAGUCUCUUUGAUAAUGGAUGGCUUUUGUAUUUAAAACCUAUCUUAGUCUCUUUUAAGUAGAAAAUUUCAAUUUCUAAAAAGAAUAAUGCUGCCCAUUUUAUUUGGUAUGCAACUUUGAAAGGUUUUAAAAUAUUUUUCCCUUAAUCUAGACUUCUUAAAUUUAAUUUUUGACAUAUUAAAUAUUAAGAAAAGAUUUCUGAAAUGAGAGAUAUAAUUUUUUUCUUUUUGACCUUGCUGCACCUAUGCUCCCCUAGAGCUGAAGGAUGUUUACUUAUUUUUAAAUGUGUCAUGAAUGUAACAUUGCCUUGUGAUUAUUAUUUUUUAUUAAAAAUAGACAUGUUAGCUAGUUGUACGAAUUUUUGUAUGAUUUUAGGACAUCUCCAAGUUAAUUAAAAAAAUAAGUUCUUGAGUAUUUUAACAAAAUGCCCUGUUCUGAACCUACUAAUAUCAUUAUGAAAUCUAGUACUAAAUGAGAGCUAAUUGAUAAAUUGGAUGAUAAAGUAGACAUAUAGAAGAUAUUCUUUGAAAAUUUUUGUAAUGAAAUUCAACUUCUAGAUAUUUGUUUUUGAUUUAUUAUAUCCCCUGUUUUGACCAUUUGCUGACUUUUUUUUUUUCUUUUUUUUUUUUUUUUUGUAAAAGAACUCAUUUGUAAAUAAAUUUGACAUUGAUUAUAUAUAAGUUUAGUUUGUAAUUCCUUUUUGAAUUCAUUACUAUUAUUUGUGAGUUAAUCUCAUUUCUAUGAAAAUGCUUUAAGAUGCUAAAACAGGUAUGCAAACCCUCUUUUCAUAAUUUAUUUAAAUUAAAGCUUAUGAUUGAACAUUGUCUAUUAGAGUUUGCUAGUUGUGUUGAGAUUUAUGACUUUAAAUUUGACUUGUUAUGGAAUAUGUGAUUGCUUAGAAUACAAUGUGAUGCUAUUGCUUGUUAUCUAACUUUUGUGUUUUUUGGAACCGCUCAAAUUAGGUAUGCCUUUCUUCAUAUAAUUGAUGAAUUGUAUUGAUGUGUUUUAUUUAGUUCAUAGUAUCCAUGAAUCAACCAAUUGAUCUUCGGAAUUAUUUCAAUUUACUUAGUAGAGACCUAGCUUUUAGGGCUUAGAGGGACGCUAUAGUUCUUCAUUGUACCUUCCUGAUAAGUAAUCUGAUACUCGAACUUAGACUCGGGUUUUCAAAGACAAGCAUUUCUAAAUAAAAAGGAGUCAUUUUCUAGGGUUUUUCUUUCUUAUUUUGUUUGUCAUUUUAAAAAAAUAAAACGAAAAUAAGUGGUGACUCCAUUAUUUAUAAAAUUGGUUUUUCACAAACAAAAAGUGAGUGUUGCCAUCGAGUGAGAAUGCAUGUGAAAAUGCGGGAUCACAAACGGUGAAGUAAAGUGGUUCUUGAUUUAUGUUUGACUUCUGUUUUUUAAACCUCCAUUUUGAUCUUUCCUCUUCGGUUCUGUUUGGUUUCCAAGAAAGUGGUCUAGGUCUAAUAUGGACCAUAGUUUCUUUCUUUUUCUUGGUUUUUGCUUGUGUUUUUCUUUUUCUUGGUAUAUCUUUGGUUUACAAGAAACAGGAGUGAAGUAAAGUAGGUUCUUUAUUUUUGUUUGGUACUUUGGUUUCUCGUUCUCAAACCUACGUUUUUAUCUUUCCUUUUAUGCUCUGUUUGGUUUCCAAGAAAGUGGUCUAGAUCUAAUAUGCACUGUGCUUUCUUUCUUUUUCUUGCUGUCUGUUUGGUUUACAAGAAGCAGGAAUGAAGUGCAGUGCAUUCUUGAUUUCUAUUUGGUUUCGAAUAAAGUGAAGGAAAAUGAUGUCUUGCUUGUUAUAUAAUCAUUGAUAAGACGCCCAGGGUAAGAACCUCAUAUUCCUAAAAACAUGCUUACCAAUGAUUUUGCUUGAGCUCUUAGAAAUAAUCUCAAAUAAUCUCACUUAAAGCUCUCAAAUAGUAAUCUAUGUCCACCAUGAUAAGACAUGAUGAAAUAAGCCCCACAAAAAUAGUAUUUCAGUGCCAUUAUUUGAACCCAAGAUGAGCCCCAUGGCUCUAUCGUUUGCCUUUCUCAAGCAAACCCUACAAAGUGAAGGCUUCUUUUCUAUUAUUUAACUGUGGAGUGAGGUAACCACAAGGGAGAACCAUCAAGUAGACGCUAUCUCUUUUGCUUUCACUCUUUAUCACUGCUUUAAGUCUAAUUAUGCCUUAGAAGUAGAAACUAUGCACUAACCAUUCUCAGGUCCCACAACCCACUAUUCAUAAGCAUCAGAGUGAUGCUGUGCAUGAAGAUACUUGUACAAGGGUUUUAUGUCAUGCAACUUUCGGUGAAUCCAAUAUGUUACGAACUCCACAAAAACAAUAUAUGCCAUGAUGUACACCAAGUAGGCAAACCAGCCAACUUCACUUAUUCUUGAAAAGCACUUUGUCCACCCAUUUUCGACUGCAUACUCUGAAAAUGUUGGGAGAGCAGCAAACCAGGGAAAACUCCUCAUGGAAGCUUUGACGUGCAAAACAAAAAUGCACUAUUGGAAUAACAUGUAAUUAAGAGCUCAAGAAGACAUGCCAUUCCCUAAUGAAACAACGCUAAGCACUAUUGGAAUAAGCACGCAUUUAAACAAAACUGACAUAGAGAGUCUCUGUUUCUGGGCGUUUUUUGGAAGAGAGUUCAAAGAUUUUCUUUCUGUAGAAGAUCAUCACAUGCACCGAUUCAAAGAAUUUAGAGAGCUUCUCAUUAGAGUCAAGGUUCUCGUCAUUCUAGACCUUUAUGAACAUCUUCUUCACGGCAGCAUUGGCAUCCCGAUUCCUGAACCUCCAUGAUUGAUUGAUCUCCAUCAUCUUCACGAUCUUCACGAUCGUGCACUAGUUCUGAAAGAAGAGACGUGAAUCUCUUCAUCGUCUUCACUCUCUAUACUUGUAUCUCGAAGGUUAUCCCGGUUUCUAUGUGCAUCGGAUCUCCAUAGAUGAACUCGGAUUUUGCAUUGAUCUGAAUCUCAAGCAUGCAUUAUUUCCAUAUUGUGCUGCCAAACUUGGUGUUUUUCUUCAUUUAUUCUUCACCACAACAGUUGGACAUAAAGGUUAGUCUCAAUGAAUCUUUACCAUUUGAAUUAGUUUAUUAAUGAUUUUUAAGUUAUUCAUUGAUGAAGUUAAGGCUAAUAGAUGAAAUUGGUUUGUUGAUUUUGAAACUCACGGCUGUUUGUGACAUGCUUUUAUCAAAAUUAGAGAAUGAAUAGAGGCUGACUAUGAUUACUAUAUCUAGAUAUAUGUUAUGGAAUAAUGGCAGUUGUAGUAAAUAAUACACAAUGGGUUACGGGAUAAUGUUGAUGCUUGUUGAUUUUUUUAAUAAAAGCUACAUAUAGAUAAGUAGAUGUAUAACCAGCCAUAAGUGUUUUUAGUGGCUCUUGAUGACAAGUUAUGAUGCCAUGUUCAUAUAUAUAUAUAUAUUAAUUUUUUCUUUUUUUAAUCCUAUCUAUGUUGUUGAUAUUAAUGCAUUGAAUUUGAUGUUACCUAAAACAAAAUUAUAUUCAUGUCCUCUAUUAUAAGUGGACAACCAUUCUUUAUGUUAGAUUUUAGAUAAAGAACGAAUAUUGAAGAUUGGAGUUGUAAGAAAUUAGGAGAUCCUAAUUUUAAAUAUGUAACAAAGUUCUAUAAUCACUUCAAUCCACAUUUAAAAAUUGUAUUUCUUUCUAAAAUGGGAUCAAACUUUUUCCUUCUUUCUUAUAAAUUUCAUUUGGGAAUGAUUUAAAAAUAAAUAAAUAAAAGCCCUUCUAAAUAUUAAAAAAACACUCUCUUAUAAAAUUUAAUUAGGUGGAUGGUUAGGUCAAAUUCGGGAUAGCUUCAUAUUUUUUGCUUUAACUGAAAAUUAAAAUCAAAAUUAAAGUAAUAAUUUUUAAGAUGUUGUAAAAGUUAUAUUAAACAUGAAAGAACUUAUUGUGUAAACAAAAAUAGAAUUAUAGAAUUCUUAUAAGAAAUAACAUUUUUAUGACUUCUAUAUGAAACUUUUUAAAAAAUUUAUCAGUUUUUCUUUUUAAAAAAUAAUUAAAUAGGUAUAAAAAACUUUUAUUCAACUUAAUUUUUUUUAACUCUUGAAAGUAAAUCCAAAUAAAAUUUAAAUAUAUUUGAAAAUCAUUUUCAAAAAUCCAAAAAAUCACCUAAAAAUAAUUUCAAAUUUUUUUUAUUUACAUUUAAAUACUAAGUGAUUCUUUUAAAAAUCAUUUGUAAUGUCAAAAUAUUUUUUUAUGGAUAAAAAUAUUACAAAUAAAAAACAUUUCAAUCACAAUUAAUUUAUUUUUAAUUCAUGAAAUUUCAUUUAUUGUUACUUAUUUUUUGGGAUUUAAUUCUUUACAAUUAUUUUUGAGUGUUUACAUAGAAUAAUUAGGUUAUGCCCAAAUUUAUUCCUUUAACUCUAUCCAUCAGAUAUAAGUAUCGUGAAAUUUUGGCCUGUCUCCACCUUUCUUCGCUUUUGACAUUGUCAUGCACUGCUUCCUCAACUCCAAACACAACCGCUGAGGAUCGAAGAAAAUGAGACAAUGGUCAAUGAAUAAUUUAUUAAUUUUUUUCUUAAUUUAAUAGCAUUGGAAUGUCAGUUGGAACAAACCAUUUGAUGAUCUUUUUCAUAAGUAUCCAUUUAGAUCAUAGUCUUUUUAAAAUAUUAGAAUAAAUCAAUUAGUCUAAGCUAUAUCAUUUAUAAUUUUUUUAUUAUUAAUAUGAUACCUAUCCUUUCACGGAAUUGAAAUAAAAUAUGAAUAAUUAAAAAAUGUCAACUAUCCAUGAUAUUUGAUACCAAACUUUUCUAAUACAACAUGAUAUCAUGUUGAAUGAAAUGGGAAUCACCAAAUGUUCUCAAAUCAAAGAUAUAUCUACAGGGGACACGUCAAAUUCUCUUUUUAUAAUCAAAGGCUUCCAAAAAAAUUCAACCAUAGCAUAUCUCAAAGAUUAGUCAAAUUCCAUUAUUUUUAUAGACUUCUAACAAUUCAAGAAAUUGACAUUAAUAAUCCCAAACACAAUAUUCUGCAACUUUACAUUAUUCUUUUUAUUGUAAUUGAAGAGGAAUACCAACUUAGUCAAAUAGAAAAUAAAUCAUGAAAGCUGAAUAAUACAAAUAUUCAGUGAAAUCUUUGGCAUGUUAUUUCUUUGCAGCUUCAACAUGGUGGCAUGUCGGAUGGAGGAGGCAGCAUUUGAGCUUCUGGGUGUUUACCAUUUUUCACUAUGAAUGCAGUUUCCAUGCCCCAAGUCACAUGGCGUUCUACAUGGCAAUGCAGGAACCACACUCCUGCAACAGAGAAAAUAUAUCGAGAUUACACCUAACUUAAUUGUAAUAUUAAAAAAAAAUUAUUUCAUUGGUAUGCAAGUUGGCAGUAUCAAGGGUUUUUUUCUUUAAUAGAGGACAUGAGUGCUUGCAACGUACCAGGGUUGGAUGCCUUGAAUCUGAUUGCAACCCAACCUUUCGAAGGAACAGAGAUGGUAUUCUGAAGGGGAGGAUCCACCAAAUUAUAGUGCAAAGGGUCCCUAUUUUCAUCGAAAUUCCUAAAUCCCCAUCCAACAACAUAGAAACUGUAUCCAUGGAGAUGCAUAGGGUGGUGUGUCUCUGCAAGCACGGCUGUCCCUUGAAGAACAAUCUCCACUGUGGAGUUAUACUCGAGCACCCUUACUUCUGUUCCACUGCUCGGCAACUGAUAGAUUAAUGGAAGAUAAUCAUAUGUAAAAUCGAACACUAGUGGUGGAAAGCUAGGAAAGUUAUUUCCAUAUACACCACUGAUGUUAUAAUAGUAAGCUUCCAGUAUGUCAACCGUAGGGGUAUGGAAGCUUAUGUUGUUUAUACUUGAGGAGAACCGCGUCCCAUUUGGCCCUGCACAUGAAUCAUUGACGCAUGGGUACGAGUUCAUAGAAAGAGUGUAAAACAACUUAGUGCUCGUGCUCAAUGGGACAUUGCAAGGAUGUUCCGCAUUUGCUAAGCUUCGGAGGCCGGCCAUGACCUGAACUGAUGCAUCUGUGUCAUUGUAUGCAGGAAGAUGAGGCAAAGAGGAGGUGAAGAUGGAGUGUAGUAUCCCCUAUAUUGUACAAUAGCUGUGGUGGUUGUGUUAUCAUAAAAGCCUUGAUAUUUCGGGGCAACAGAAUAAGUUAUAGCCGCCAUGUAAUAGUGAUUUGGGCGUUGGUUAGCUUCUAAUAAGACAUCAUAGGUUUGGCCAGGAAAUAUUGUGAUAUAAUCUCGUGUCAAUGGUUUCGUGUAGCUACCAUCUGUUCCAACCACUAUCAUUUUAUGCUUGGCUAUGGCGAAGAAGAGAGCCUCAUGCAAGGCAGCAUUGAUUAUGCGAAGUAGAUAGGUCUUUCCAUGAUCCACCGUUAGCUUGAAUGUGCCUGUAAUUAGAAAGGGAAAGUUGUAUACUUAUGACUAGCAAAAAGAAAAAGAAAAAUUUUCCAUGAGAAUCCACCAAUUAUG